AGAGUUUGAUCCUGGCUCAGAAUCAACGCUGGCGGCGUGCCUAACACAUGCAAGUCGCACGAGAAAGGGACUUCGGUCCUGAGUAAAGUGGCGCACGGGUGAGUAACACGUGACUAAUCUACCCUCGAGUGGGGAAUAACUAAGAGAAAUCUUGGCUAAUACCGCAUAAUACCCACGGGUCAAAGCAGUAAUGCGCUUGAGGAGGAGGUCGCGGCCGAUUAGCUAGUUGGCGGGGUAAUGGCCCACCAAGGCGAUGAUCGGUAUCCGGCCUGAGAGGGCGCACGGACACACUGGAACUGAAACACGGUCCAGACUCCUACGGGAGGCAGCAGUGGGGAAUUUUGCGCAAUGGGGGAAACCCUGACGCAGCAACGCCGCGUGGAGGAUGAAGUAUCUCGGUACGUAAACUCCUUUCGAUGGGGAAGAUAAUGACGGUACCCAUAGAAGAAGCCCCGGCUAACUUCGUGCCAGCAGCCGCGGUAAUACGAGGGGGGCAAGCGUUGUUCGGAUUUAUUGGGCGUAAAGGGUGCGUAGGCGGUUUGGCAAGUCUUGUGUGAAAUCUAUGGGCUCAACCCAUAGCCUGCACGAGAAACUACCGGGCUUGAGUGAUGGAGAGGUGAGUGGAAUUUCCGGUGUAGCGGUGAAAUGCGUAGAUAUCGGAAGGAACACCUGUGGCGAAAGCGGCUCACUGGACAUUAACUGACGCUGAUGCACGAAAGCUAGGGGAGCAAACAGGAUUAGAUACCCUGGUAGUCCUAGCCCUAAACGAUGAUCGCUUGGUGUGGCAGGUACCCAAUCCUGCCGUGCCGAAGCUAACGCGAUAAGCGAUCCGCCUGGGGAGUACGGUCGCAAGACUGAAACUCAAAGGAAUUGACGG
rnacentral:rRNA from 1 species